UAUCGCUAUCGAUAGGCCGGCCACAACAACCAUACUGACAAUGAACAACAAAGCAAAUGCAAAAAUAAAAACAAGAGAACUGGCAGUGGAAAACUGGCCACGCAGCCUUCUUAAGCGCCUAACCAAGGAAAAUGUCCACGACCACAGGAUACAAUUCCGGCAAAAUUGGAAUACUGGACGGAUGUCAUGCCCUGGAGCCUGGCCUGAGUUACGGGUAAAUGAGAGAAGGACAAAUCCCUGAUGAAGGAGUACAAACCAACUAUAAUCAACAUGCCAAAUACAAAUAAGUAGCCAUUUCUAAUUAAACAAAGCCAAACAACUUGGGUAUAAGUUCUUCUAUAAUCCGGAAGCUACUUUCUCCCUUAUUGCGAGAGUGAAGGACAUCCGGUUACACCUACGACCGCAGCAGGACAUUGGACUAAUAUUUGACCCUGAACUGGACGUCGGAUGCCGGAAGGAUAUUUCCCCGGAAAGGAAACAAUUGGAAUCAGUUAGAACAUUUAGUUUUACGUAUUAAUGUUUUUUUCUAUAAUUAAUUGCCAUUUUCAUAUUUAUAACAAGACGCAUUGUUUUAUAUACUUCUCUAACUA